AUGGGAAUCCGCCUGCUUUGUGGCGUGGCCUUUUAUCUCCUGGGAGCAGGCCUCGUGGAUGCAGAGGUAACCCAGACUCCGGGGCAUCUGAUCAAGAGGACGGGAGAGAAGGUUUUGCUGGAAUGUUCACAGGACAUGGACCAUGAAAGAAUGUUCUGGUAUCGACAAGACCCAGGUCUAGGGCUACGGCUGAUUUAUUUCUCAUUUGAUGUGGGCAGUGAAGAAAAAGGAGAUGUCUGGGAGGCGUAUAGUGCCUCCAGGAAGCAGAAGGACCGUUUCCCCCUGGUUCUGGAGUCUGCCGGCACCAACCAGACGUCUGUGUACCUCUGCGCCAGCCGCUACCACAGCGCGGCACAGCACUUUGGAGAGGGGACUCGACUCUCCGUCCUAGAGGACCUGAAAAAGGUGACCCCACCCAAGGUGGCUGUGUUUGAACCCUCGGAAGCAGAGAUCUCCCGGACCCACAAAGCCACACUGGUGUGCCUGGCCACAGGCUUCUACCCCGACCACGUGGAGCUGAGCUGGUGGGUGAACGGGAAGGAGGUGCAGAGUGGGGUCAGCACGGACCCCCAGCCCUACAAGGAGCAGCCCAGCCUCAACGACUCCACCUACUGCCUGAGCAGCCGCCUGAGGGUCUCACCCGUGCCACUGUGCUCCUAUGCUGAGCAGUUCUUCGGGCCAGGGACCCGGCUCACCGUGCUAGAGGACCUGAAAAAGGUGACCCCACCCAAGGUGGCUGUGUUUGAACCCUCGGAAGCAGAGAUCUCCCGGACCCACAAAGCCACGCUGGUGUGCCUGGCCACAGGCUUCUACCCCGACCACGUGGAGCUGAGCUGGUGGGUGAACGGGAAGGAGGUGCAGAGCGGGGUCAGCACGGACCCCCAGCCCUACAAGGAGCAGCCCAGCCUCAACGACUCCACCUACUGCCUGAGCAGCCGCCUGAGGGUCUCGGCCGCCUUCUGGCACAAUCCCCGCAACCACUUCCGCUGCCAAGUCCAGUUCUACGGGCUCACCAAGGAAGACGAGUGGACCCAGGACACAGCCAAACCGGUCACCCAGAACGUCAGCGCUGAGGCCUGGGGCAGGGCAGACUGUGGCUUCACCUCGGCGUCCUAUCAGCAAGGGGUCCUGUCUGCCACUGUCCUCUAUGAGAUCCUGCUGGGAAAGGCCACCCUGUAUGCUGUGCUGGUCAGCGCCCUCGUGCUGAUGGCCAUGGUCAAGAGAAAGGACUCCUGAGGCCAGCUCCAGAAGUGCAUCCUGAGUCGUUCUUCAUGCUCGCCUGAGAUUCUCCUAUACCUGCUCCAACUGUGUCCCUAAACAGUUAUUGUGUCUCCACCUCUCAUCCCCUCCCUACAUAGACAUCAGUCCUUUUUCUCUGUUUCCCCGCAGACGGGGCUCCGAACCCCCAAGUCUGUAAUAGACUAAAGCAAUAAACAUGGCGUGCUGGGC